CAGACAUGUCCCCGUAUAUGCUAAAGCUAUCAUAUAUAUAUCUUAGUUAUUGUUCUAGUAUAGAAGGAUUGCCAUCAUCUGUCAUAUAUCUUUCUAGUUUAAGACACCUGAAAUUCAGAACAUACAAAAUUUAUAGGAUCAACAAUAUUCUAGUGGAGCAUGGAUUCUAGGAAAAUUUAGUCAAGGAUUAUACCAAAGCCUAUCCAAAGCUCCUCAAUUCACGUACUUUGAUAAAUUUGUGUUCGUUGAGAUCAUUAAAACUUAGUUGGAGACCCAUGGAAAGUGAAGUCUUCCUAAAAAAUCUCCAUACAUUUUCGUGCUUGGAAGCUUUAUACCUAAGUGGAAACAACAACUUAACCCAAUUACCUGAUAGCAUCUCCCAUCUUUCUCGUCUGAGAAAGUUGUAUUUGGAUGAGUGUCACUGACUUAAAAUUUUGCAUAGCCUCCCAUGAAGCAUACAAGAAUUAGAGGCCAACAAUUGCUAUUCUCUGGAAAAGAUUGACCAUCUAUUACAAGAGUAUGACAGCUGGUAUCAUAUUUCCUUCAUUAACUGUCAGAAACUUGUGGAGGAUGAGGAUAGCAAAAGAUACCUUGAUAAGAUGUUGCAGCAGAAAUCAUUCCUUAAGGUGCCCCAUUUCUUAGCUCCUUUCUCAUUUGUAUUUUAUUUAUUUCAGCCCAAACCUACUUGUAAAUCGACUUACUACAAAAUACCAAGCUGGUUCAAAGAGGCACAACCUGGGUAUAAUAUAGCAUUGGUGUUACCUCCCAAAUGCGAAACACAAAUCAAUGGGAUUGCGAUAUGUGGUGUCUUCCCUGGGGAGUGGCAAGGGACAAGUUAUCGUCCUAGUACCUACUUCAACUUAAAAAAGAUGGAAUGUCUAUUAGUAUUAGUUGGAAGAAGGAUGAAUGUAUUAAUAAUGCAUCUGCAGCAGCAACAGCAGAAGGUGAGGAUGGGAAUACGUGGAUAUGGUAUAGACCAUGUAAUUCCUUCGGGGGUCAACAUUGGUCUGCAGGUGGUACUCUACUCAUUUCAAUAAGCCAAGGUCAUGGUGCAAAAGCUGUAAGAUGUGCAGCACGACUUAUCUACAAAGAAGAUGUGGAAUCGAACCAACAAAUUACAACUUGUAUCUCCUAUCCAUGGAAGAACCAAAGGGAAAGGAGAAAAAGUGCCUACCAGGCCGCCCAAAAUUUUUAGAGGGUGAUGUUGUUCAAAACGUGAUAAUCCAUAAGUAGGUCACCCCCUACUGCAGGAAAACGGGAUUCCACAAACUUUGCCGCCAUAACUGCCGCUAAAAUUCCCAUGGAAGUUGAUCUAUGCUUCUUCAUCAUGGUCCAUUGAUUUUAAUCCCCAAUCGCAGCUGCAGUUCACUUCAUCGCUUCCAGAGAGCCAUUCGUUUCCCACACAACAGAUUGAAAGCAGUGCGUUAGGGUUUCUUGUCUCUUAAUUUUCUCAUGUUGUUACCUCUAGCAUCUGCUAUUUGCCCUACGUAAGGUUGGCUUAGGCUAUGUGGCUGAGCCAGUAAACAAUUAGCUACAGUCAAAUGAUGAAGAUUGGUUAGAUGAUGAGAAACAGUUUUUACUUGUAUGCGGUUUAGUCGUCAAAGGGGUGAUGGUAGUACAUAAUAUGAUGAAUAUCCCACGUAUCCCUUGUCGCACUUCCUGUCGUACAGGAAAUAUUUUUAUUCAAGAAAUACUCAAUGGUCAUCCUAGACAUUGUUAUGAAGAUUUCAGGUUACAUGUUGAUGUUUUCAAGAGCUUAUGUUCGGAUCUUGAAUGCACUACAACCUAAAGGAGACACGUAAUGUAUCUAUUGAAGAGUCUGUUUGUAUUUUUUUGUUGAUAUUAGCACACGGAUGUGGAAAUAGACUAGCUCAAGAAAUUUUCAAUCAUUCAGGGGAAACUAUUCAUAGACAUUUCCAUCGUGUUUUAAGAGUGUUUUAAGAGCGGUGCUUAAGCUUAGCGGGGACAUCAUCAUGCCUAAAGCAAACUACAAUGAUGAAGUACCUCCACAACUCUUAAACAACUCUCGGUAUUACCCCGUGUUCAAGGAUUGCAUUGGUGAUAUUGAUGGAACAUAUGUUAAGGCAUCAGUUCGAGAGCAUGAACAAGCAAAAUAUAUUGGUAGAAAAGGAUAUGCAACCCAAAAUACCAUGGCAGCAUGUGAUUUUAAUAUGUGUUUUACAUUUGCAUGGGCGGGAUGGGAAGGCACUGCACAUGACACAAGAAUUUUUUUAGAAGCAUUACAUAAGCCAGAGGUGAAAUUUCCUCGUCCAACGGGUGAUAAGUACUAUGUUGUUGAUGUCGGGUACCCAAAUACCAGAGGCUAUCUUGCUCCUUAAAAAGGAAAUGAUGUUCAUUAUCAUAUACCUGAUUUUCGUCGAGGUCAAAUAGCUGCCCAACGCGCUCCGAAAAGACUAAAAGAGACAUUUAACUACUAUCACUCAUCUUUAAGAAAUGUGAUCGAACGGACAUUUGGAGUAUGGAAGGCAAGGUGGGCAAUAUUAAAAGAUAUGCAUGUUAAUUACUCUUAUGAAACACAGGUCGACAUUGUGAUAGCAUCCAUGGCAAUUCACAACUACAUUAGGAUGAAAGGUCAUUUUGAUGAAGCAUUUAACAAAGCACAACAAGAAACUUAUCGUCCAACUCGAGAUGUUGAAAGUGAUAUAUCCAUCAAAAGUAAUUUAAUGGAACACAAGAAGACAUAACUACACGUCGUAGGCAAGUAGGCAAGAUAAUCUAUAUAUGAGUUUGGUAAGAGAGAAUUGCAAAAGAUAUUAUGCAAUCCAAUUGAAUGUUUAUCUGUUGCAAUUGUGGUACUAAUGCAGAAUGGUGAAUAAUUUGUUUACUUACCUUGUACCGAAAUCAUAUGGCGUAUCGAUUGAACUGGAGUUUGUUUUUUUUGGCUUCUUGA